AUAUAUAUAUAUAUAUGGAACCCCCCUUUUUUUGGACAAUCAAUGCAUUUGAAUGGGGACAUAUAGUUGGUACCCCCCCCCCCUCUUUGUCCUGGGUUGGGAACCCCGUCCCCUCCCCCUUUGAAAAUGGCUGGAUCCGCCCCUGAACAGAUUGUAGUUAAGUGAAAGAACAUAUUAUGUGUAAUAUUUAGUAUUGUUUUAAUUUAUUGAUAACAAAAUCAAUAUUUACACCAAUAAAAACAAUAUCAAAG
rnacentral:lncRNA from 1 species